rnacentral:rRNA from 1 species
UACGGAGGGUGCAAGCGUUAUCCGGAUUCACUGGGUUUAAAGGGUGCGUAGGUGGUUUUGUAAGUCAGUGGUGAAAUCCCGGAGCUCAACUUCGGAACUGCCUUUGAUACAGCACGUCUUGAGUCCGAUAGAGGUGGGUGGAAUUCCUAGUGUAGAGGUGAAAUUCGUAGAUAUUAGGAAGAACACCGGUGGCGAAGGCGGCCCACUGGAUCGGUACUGACGCUGAGGUGCGAAAGCGUGGGGAGCAAACAGG